AGUGAACGCUGGCGGUAGGCCUAACACAUGCAAGUCGAACGGCAGCACAGUAAGAGCUUGCUCUUACGGGUGGCGAGUGGCGGACGGGAGAGGAAUACAUCGGAAUCUACUUUUUCGUGGGGGAUAACGUAGGGAAACUUACGCUAAUACCGCAUACGACCUACGGGUGAAAGCAGGGGAUCUUCGGACCUUGCGCGAGUGAAUGAGCCGAUGUCGGAUUAGCUAGUUGGCGGGGUAAAGGCCCACCAAGGCGACGAUCCGUAGCUGGUCUGAGAGGAUGAUCGGCCACACUGGACCUGAGACACGGUCCAGCCUCCUACGGAGGCCAGCGGUGGGGAAUAUUGGCCAAUGGGCGCAAGCCUGAUCCAGCCAUCCCGCGUGGGUGAAGAAGGCCUUCGGGUUGUAAAGCCCUUUUGUUGGGAAGAAAAGCAGCAGGUUAAUACCCCGCUGUUCUGACGGUACCCAAAGAAUAAGCACCGGCUAACUUCGUG
rnacentral:rRNA from 1 species